UACGUAUGGAGCAAGCGUUAUCCGGAUUUACUGGGUGUAAAGGGAGCGCAGGCGGUCUGGCAAGUCUGAUGUGAAAGGCCGGGGCUCAACCCCGGGACUGCAUUGGAAACUGUCAGACUGGAGUGUCGAAGAGGUAAGCGGAAUUCCUAGUGUAGCGGUGAAAUGCGUAGAUAUUAGGAGGAACACCAGUGGCGAAGGCGGCUUACUGGACGAUGACUGACGCUGAGGCUCGAAAGCGUGGGGAGCAAGCAGG
rnacentral:rRNA from 1 species